UGAAGGAUUAAUCUUGUGUGCAGAA
rnacentral:piRNA from 1 species